AGAAAAGUAGGUGCCGCCCCGCACAGGGGCAACGCUAAUAGACCACUACCAAAACAAGGCCAAAGCCCCAGAUCAACAACAAAAAGCGCCGA
rnacentral:sRNA from 1 species